rnacentral:lncRNA from 1 species
UCCUAUUAAUAUGUAGAUACUAUAUUAUAUACAGAUUUUGAGGUACUUGUAGUUUUGCACAAAUUUGUAAUAAUAAAGACAGAUCCUGAGUUCCUUUACCCAAGUUCCCCCAUGGCAACACCGGGCAAAGCUAUGGUAUUCCACAACCAGGGUGCACAGCACUAACAUGGGUGACAGCAUUUCCGUCUCCACUCAAGUUGCUGGUUUAUAGCUGCCCCAGCUUUCUACUUGCCUCCAUUCCUUCUGUGACCCGCCAAUCACUAAUCUAUACUUUAUUUCUAUGAUUUUGUCAUGUCAAAAUAUUACAUAAAUGGCAUACAGUAUGUAACCUUUUGGAGUUGAUUCUUUCAUUUGCACAAUGCCAUCUAUCCUAUGGCAUUGAGGUACCAUAGCACUUUCAAGCGUGUGCCCAUUGAAGGACAUCAGGGUUGUUUCUGGUUUGGGGCAUUUACAGAAGAAACCACUGUAAAUAUUAGUGUACACCCCAGGAUUUAAUGUGAGCCUAAUCCUUCAUUUCUCUGGAUGAAAUAUCCAACAGUACAAUUUCUGUUGUAUUGGAGUUGCAUGUAUGUUUGUUUUGAGAAACUGCCAAACUGUUUUCCAGAAUGGUUGAACCAUUUUAUUUCUCAUCAACAGUGUAUAUAACUAAUCCAUGUUCUCUGCAUAUUUGUCAGCAUUUGUUAUUGCCACUUUUUAUUAAAUCUUAUUUAAGCCACCCUGGUAAGUAUAUAUUUGAUAUCUCCUUGCAGUUUUAGUUUGCAUUUCCCUGAUGGCUAAUGAUGUUGAACAUCUUUUCAUGUGCUUAUUUGCCAUCAUAAUCUUUACUUAAAUCCCCCCUUUUCUAGUUAGAUUGUUUGUUUUUUUUACUAUUGAGUUUUAGAAUUGUUUAUAUAUUCUAGACAUUAGUUCUUUGUUGAUAUGUGACUAGCAAAUGUUUUCUUCCAAUCUAUAACUCAUUUUAUUCUCUCAAUAGUCUUUUACA